rnacentral:rRNA from 1 species
UACGUAGGGUCCGAGCGUUGUCCGGAAUUAUUGGGCGUAAAGGGCUCGUAGGCGGUUCGUCACGUCGGGAGUGAAAACUCGGAGCUUAACUCCGAGCCUGCUUCCGAUACGGGCAGACUAGAGGUAGGCAGGGGAGAGCGGAACUCCUGGUGUAGCGGUGAAAUGCGCAGAUAUCAGGAGGAACACCGGUGGCGAAGGCGGAUCUCUGGGCCAUUACUGACGCUGAGGAGCGAAAGCGUGGGGAGCGAACAGG